rnacentral:snRNA from 1 species
GCCCUUCGGGGCAUUGGUCAACUGAAAAUAUACAGAGAAGAUUAGCAUGGCCCCUGCACUAAGGAUGACACGCUCAAUCAAAGAGAAGCAACCUAUUUUU